GUGCUUGCCUUGCUUCGGCAGCACGUGCACUGGAAUGGGAACAGCACAGAGAAGAUUAGCAUGGCCCCUGCACAAGGACAGCACGCAGAUUCGUGAAGUGUCCAUAUCUUUA